AGAUACCCCAGUAGUCUUAGCUGUAAACGAUGGAUACUAGGUGUAGCUUGUAUCGACCCGAGCUGUGCCGAAGCUAACGCGAUAAGUAUCCCGCCUGGGGAGUACGCACGCAAGUGUGAAACUCAAAGGAAUUGACGGGGGCCCGCACAAGCGGUGGAGUAUGUGGUUUAAUUCGAUGCAACGCGAAGAACCUUACCAGGGCUUGACAUGUCGCGAAUCUAGCUGAAAGGUUAGAGUGCCUUAGGGAACGCGAACACAGGUGGUGCAUGGCUGUCGUCAGCUCGUGUCGUGAGAUAUUGGGUUAAGUCCCGCAACGAGCGCAACCCUCGUCCUUAGUUGCCAAUAUUAAGUUAGGCACUCUAGGGAGACUGCCGGGGACAACUCGGAGGAAGGUGGGGAUGACGUCAAGUCAGCAUGCCCCUUACGUCCUGGGCGACACACGUACUACAAUGGUUGGGACAAAGGGCAGCAAGCUCGCGAGAGUAAGCGAAUCUCAUCAAACCCAGCCAAAGUUCAGAUUGCAGGCUGCAACUCGCCUGCAUGAAGUAGGAAUCGCUAGUAAUCGCAGGUCAGCAUACUGCGGUGAAUUCGUUCCCGGGCCUUGUACACACCGCCCGUCACACCAUGGAAGCUGGCUACGCCCGAAGUCGUUACCCUAACCUUUAGAGGAGGGGGAUGCCGAAGGUAGAGCUAGUGACUGGGGUGAAGUCGUAACAAGGUAGCCGUACCGGAAGGUGUGGCUGGAUCACCUCCUUU
rnacentral:rRNA from 1 species